CUCGUAGGCGGUUCGUCGCGUCCGGUGUGAAAGUCCAUCGCUUAACGGUGGAUCCGCGCCGGGUACGGGCGGGCUUGAGUGCGGUAGGGGAGACUGGAAUUCCCGGUGUAACGGUGGAAUGCGUAGAUAUAUGGAGGAACACCGGUGGCGAAAGCGGCUCUCUGGUCUGUAACUGACACUGAGGCUCGAAAGCGUGGGGAGCAAACA
rnacentral:rRNA from 1 species